UACGAAGGGGGCUAGCGUUGCUCGGAAUCACUGGGCGUAAAGCGCACGUAGGCGGCUUCUUAAGUCAGGGGUGAAAUCCUGGAGCUCAACUCCAGAACUGCCUUUGAUACUGAGGAGCUUGAGUCCGGGAGAGGUGAGUGGAACUGCGAGUGUAGAGGUGAAAUUCGUAGAUAUUCGCAAGAACACCAGUGGCGAAGGCGGCUCACUGGCCCGGUACUGACGCUGAGGUGCGAAAGUGUGGGGAUCAAACAGG
rnacentral:rRNA from 1 species